AGGAAUAUUGGACAAUGGGCGCAAGCCUGAUCCAGCCAUGCCGCGUGCAGGAUGACGGUCCUAUGGAUUGUAAACUGCUUUUAUACGAGAAGAAACACUCCGACGUGUCGGAGCUUGACGGUAUCGUAAGAAUAAGGAUCGGCUAACUCCGUGCCAGCAGCCGCGGUAAUACGGAGGAUCCAAGCGUUAUCCGGAAUCAUUGGGUUUAAAGGGUCCGUAGGCGGUUUAAUAAGUCAGUGGUGAAAGCCCAUCGCUCAACGGUGGAACGGCCAUUGAUACUGUUAGACUUGAAUUAUUAGGAAGUAACUAGAAUAUGUAGUGUAGCGGUGAAAUGCUUAGAGAUUACAUGGAAUACCAAUUGCGAAGGCAGGUUACUACUAAUGGAUUGACGCUGAUGGACGAAAGCGUGGGUAGCGAACAGG
rnacentral:rRNA from 1 species